rnacentral:misc_RNA from 1 species
GAAACAUUCAAGGAUAAUUUCUGCUAGAUUUGGCUUCUCUAGUGUUUUGAGGCAACUGGAAAAGCCACUUCCAUAUUGUAAUUGGAUGAAAACACAUUGAGAAGAUGGAUGAUGAAGGACGCCUAUUCAUUAAAAAACGAUCUGAAUCAACUAUAAGAGAAACAUGAAGUUGCAUUGUCUCUUAUGAUCCCAACUCGUAAUGCUAAUAGCGUUAAAGCAAUCAUCUUAAACAUGUUGCACAGAUUUUGCAGAUACAAUUUUAUUCCAAUGAGGAAAGAAAUCCGAAAGAAAGUAUGACCUCCACUGACAUGAACCAGUUUUUCGUGCUGCAUGUCCUGGAAGCUUUACCAGCAUCUCUUACCAGACAUCAGGACGAAGCUCUCCAGUUGCUGGAGGCAUCCAUUUCCCAGAGUUGUAAACACUUUCACCAACUUUCCAACCGGGAACAUCCUUCAUGAUUCUCGCCUCUUCUUCAAGAUACUUCUUCCACUCUUUAACAAAUCUUUCAUCU